AAGUCGUAACAAGGUUUCCGUAGGUGAACCUGCGGAAGGAUCAUUACCAAGAGAAAUCUUUCAACACUGAAAGAUCUUUUCCUUUGUGCUGGCUUUGACCGUAUGUAAUUUUGGGACUUCAAAAUGGUUCGCAAGGGCCGGUCCCAAAACCAAUAUAUCAUCCUUAUGAAAUUUUUUCUGAACAAUUAAACAAAUGAUUUUAAUAAUCUGUUUAAAACAACUUUCAACAACGGAUCUCUUGGUUCUCGCAUCNAUGAAGAACGCAGCGAAAUNCGAUACGUAAUGUGAAUUGCAGAAUUCAGUGAAUCAUCGAAUCUUUGAACGCACAUUGCACUCCUUGGUAUUCCGAGGAGUAUGCCUGUUUCAGUAUCAUGAGCACUCUCACACCUAACCUUUGGGUUUAUGGCGUGGAAUUGGAAUGCGCCGACUGUCAUGGUUGGCCCUUCUAAAAUGUAGUUCUUGGCUGUCACCUAAUACAGCAGUUUGGCCUAAUAGUUUUGGCAUUCAUUGUCAAAUCUCUGGCUAACAUUUGCUCCAGGAGUCAGUCUUGAUAAUACAGAAAACUCAUUCAAAUUUUGGUCUGAAAUCAGGUAGGGCUACCCGCUGAACUUAA
rnacentral:rRNA from 1 species